AACUACCCCAACAUUCAAUAUGGCUACCAUGCACGUGCGGCUUUUUCGACUGGCGCAAGAUAGGAAAUCAGCCUGCUCUCACCAAGAAAGGAAGUGACUAGCAGGCCCUUGGUGUUUGAUGAACGUGCACACGUUUCAAGACCUUGUCAGCGAUGAAGUUCCAGCCUGACUAAGCAUCUGCAGAUUAACAUGCAGACGUCAAAAAAGAAACACUUUAUUGGACAGUAAUCCAUCAGCGAGCAAGAUGGCAAGGAUCCCGAAAGAACAACAGCAUAAUUAUGUCUCCAUUUGAUCUUCGAUGCUGCGUUGAAACAACAUGUGUACAUUGUCUACAGAACAUAACGUUGCACCAUGAGACUUCUGUACAUUUACAACCAGUUACAACCAAGCUAAUUCCAUCGAGGGGGAGUUCAACGUUUACCAUCAUAACCAAGGACCUAGAUGUGCGGUACAGUUACCAGUUAAAGUGUGUUUAAACAUUCUCACUGCAGACAGUUUUUGACAGGAGUUCAGCAAAACACAAACUUGUGAAAUACACACUGUUCUACGAUUGAUUGUGUGCAAAGUCUCCUUGCUUCUAAAUGCCAACACUUAGAAGGCUGUACAACACAUGCUUGCGACGACGUCUGUGACAAAAGCUUCAAGGACUUGACCGUUUCCAAUGUUUCUACUCUGUUCUGGCACCAUCCAUGACUAGAUGUCAGAUGACGCACACAUUGAGCAAUGGUUGUGAUGAGUUGUGUGAUGGAUGCAGCAACCAGCCGUUCCUGAGACUGAUGACAGUAGACAAGCCCAGAGGGUAUACUGCGGACUUCCUCCAUUGACAAGACUGCUGGAAACGGGUUACACUCCAAUCAUCAACCUGGCUCAUCUCAUCAGGCUCUGCUUUGCAUCAUCAUGUGGAACAUUGCACAGGACCUGAGAUACCGACUGUAGACUUCCUGGACCAUGGACUUCCUCCAUUCAGGAGACUGUUGGAGACAGGUUUUACCCCAAUCACGGACUCAGUUCUGUCAUCUCAUCAGGCUCUGCCUAGCAUCAUCAUGUGGAACUUUUGCUGAUGCAUCACUCAGAAUAUUGCACAGGACGUGAGAUACUGACUAUAGAAACAAACUGUUGGUACAGUUGUGAGCUUGGAGCAUAGUCGACAAGGCUACUCAUGUCAAAUUAAAAUGCAGUUAGUAGACUAUGUGACUCACCCUGCCAUGAAUUACUGAAACAGCUCAGCUGUGUUCCUGAUUCAUUUUGAACCCCUUUGGAUAUGCAUCCCAUUGGACAUGUUGGAACAUUUUACGGACUGGACCAUACAUGUAUGUGAACUCCAAGAAGCUACCAGCUAAUCCUGCAAGAACUGUACUUCAGCAUCUUCAGCUGUGGAUUCUUGACGUUGGAUUGUGAACCAUUGUGCUCCAGUAUUGACUGAAAUUGCCAAGAACUUGAAUGGCUGAUGUACAAUUUAACUGGAAAGACGUAGAGAACCAUCAAACAUUGGGUUGGGAUAUAAACUAGUGGCGUAGCUUCACCUUUUCCUUCACAAAGAUAAAAACUUUGCUUUCAAAACUCUUGAAUGUUAGCAUCAAGUUCCAUCUUUAAAAAAAGUCCAAACUUCAAAGUUGACCAAAACAAAAUCUUGUUGAGCAAAUAAUGAAAAGGAGUCAUCCCAAAAAAUGAUUGUAACUUUCGGUUGUUAGGUUCUCGUUGGAUGUCACUUGGGAUGCAUGGUCAGAAUCAAUGAUUCUUGGCUCGCCUUAAGUUUCCACCUUACGUAGAUGGCCAUUUGGCAUUCUCAUCUAUGUAAUCAAAGCUACGCCACUGAAAAAAAGGGUUGAGGGUGGGAAUUGGGUGUGAGUACCAAGUCCAUUUUGACGACUGAGCCCUUAAAGGUUGUAGAAAUGUAGCUACUUUUUUUGUCAGCUAAGUGGUCUAAAAAUGUUCCUCUAACAUCAAGGGGUACAUACAUGUAGGCGCAGCAGACAAAAUCUGAACUGCCAACCAUAUUUAAAUAUUUCAUAAAAAGACAGUCAACUCUGUGAAGCUCACAAUGCCAUUUAAAUUAUAGUUAUCUUAUGUUCCAAGGACCAUUUAAUAUUAAGCUGACAAUUGCAAAUUGGUGGAAAAUCAAGGUAUCUAACGUUGUUCUUAGCUCUUCGUCAGAAUGGACUUGUACAUUUGUAACCAGUCCUCAUUUGUAGCCAGUCUAUAAAGAUUGAAGAUGAAAGGCAAUAUAUCCUAAAAGAAUAAGCAUGAGAAAUUUGAUACUAUUUUCUCAAAUUCAACCUUUUGAAAUUCAGCGCAUCUUAGCAUUGUGCAUGAAGAGACAAUGAAUGUUGUUACAGUAAUACAAAAACGUUUCAUUUGGUUAACUUCUUGCGGUUAAAAAAGCAUACAAUUAUUCCUCAAAAAAUACCUUGUUUUAUCCAAAACAUCAAAGCGCUUUUUUUGUUAAUCCUGAGGGAAAAUUCAUCUGAACCAAAAAGAUUCACACUUUUCAUUACUGUCCAUUUGACCACAAGCGCACAUAUUUUUUCUCUAAGAACCAAAUGUACGGUAUGUAUGUCAUUGUAUAAUGCAUUAUAACGUGAGGGCUGGUUACAACAAUACUUUAAUUUUGUUUUUAAAUACAAUGCCUGACUGGUAAAUUACAAGCCUGGUGCAUUAUGGGUAAUUAAUGUCACUCCAUCGUGAACACAAAAGACAAAAUAUUGUCCUAUUGAAAGUCUCUUGCAAGGACAAAUUUGAAUUUUUUUUUCUGAAAUGGCAAUACGUUCAAGUUUGAAUCAAGCAUUCAAAUCACCAUACUCAAUUAGUUCAGUAACUGAAAAUGGUCAAAUAUGCCUUUGGGCAAAAAAAUUAUUCAUUUUGUGAAUGCUUUUGCAGUUUGUUUAUGACAUUUGUAAAUCAGUGCAAAAUCUACAUUUUUGGGGUCUUAAAUUCUUAUUUUGCCAAAUGUACUCAUCUUCAAAUUGUAAUGCACUAAUUUUUACCCAUCUUGCACCUGCUUUGAAAUGUGUAUAAUCAGCACUGAUGAAUAGAAAGUAGAGUCCAACCAUUGUUGAAGACAUUUGGGCCAAUCGCAUUUAGCAACAUUGUACAAGAUAUGUACAUAGAUUUCCAUUAGAUCAUUCAACCCUUCCCUGGUAGCUAAAUAAGCAUGGCAUCACAAGCUGCUGCAUGGAGUUUGAAAAAAAAUCGGCAUGACUUUUGCUUUAAUACUGCAUUGAUUAGUUUGCAAAUUUUGGUGAUUUUGUCACCCUGAAGCUUUGCUUCAUUAAAAAGUAGAAUUAAAAAAAACCCACAGUAUUCUAUUUCUGGUCAAAGUAAGCGCAGGCACAAUCAUGACAAUUGUAUCUCAGUGCUGAUUAUACAUGUAUAUACUUGCAACAUUUAUUUUGGUAAAAUCAAUCGAUAAACCUUUUUUGCAUUGUUGUCUUUUACCAUCAGGCACUGUAAAUGAAAACCAAUAAAGCCCAGCCACAUGCAGGCCCUCCUGGUGCGUGCACGUGUGUCCCCUGCCCGCAGACGCUGACAGGUUGGUGGUUGCCCGCUAUCUGCAUUGGCUUGUGAAUUGACUGUUGGUGAUGUAUGCAACUCCCUCGAAAUCUUGCACCCUGGGUGAUUGUGGAUACCUCGGAAGACUGCAACAUGGUAAGGAUCCUUUAAACUUUGGCAAUUGGUUAGUUUGUCUACAAAGCAGAUGUACAUGUCCACUACUCCAGGAAUGGCAACUCAAGAGAACACUUCUGUGUCUAACUCCGCCAUUGCUCACUUGAAACAUGUCAAGAGUUCUCAGCCAUCAUUGCCAGUGAUCCGAAAAAAUAAUGAAAUAUUCAGCGACGGUUACUUGUUGUAGGCUUUCUAGGAUAUUUGACAGUGUCGUAUGAUGUUUGAACAAUUGUUUGGCCACAAUUGUCUUGGUAAUUUCCACAGUAUAACUCUGAAAUUCUAGUUUUGCAUUUGCUCAUUUCACCUCAAAGGGAGGUGUUUUUACCAAAUGAAGUCAUUUAAUAAGAUGGUGCAAGCUUCUUCAAAAAUUACAAUCGCGUCUGAAUUGUACAUUCAUGGUUUUGGUAGCAUACACACAUUCUAAAUUUGUCGUAUUUGGAACUUUUUAACAGUCGGAAUUUACAGUCAGUAAACUGCAAUCAAUUAAAUUUGAAGUUCACAGUAGUUGACACCAAAAAAAAAAUAUUGAAUUCCAAAAAUGGCAUCCUGGGUUUUGAGAGAACAAAUAUUUUUUUUUUUUAAAUAUGACUGAAUUUCGUUACUGAAAAAAAUAAGAAAGUCUAAAGAUUCUUCUGGACAUUUCUGUGAAACAAAAUUCAAAUUUUUAAGUGUCAUCAUCUUUGUGCGUAGUUUUUUUUUGCAUCAAAAUCAAAAGAAAUUUGUAAAAAAAGUAAACCAAAAACUGGUAGCCAAACUCUUCAAAACUGUAGUAGAGAAAUGCCUGGUGUGCAGAGAGGGAGAACCAUGCUGUUAGAUUGAUGGGUGGAUGAUGUAUCCAGGCCAUUCACUCACAUCAUAGAGGGGCAAAAAACACUCGCUCUGAAUUUGUCCAAAGAAGGGAGAAAACAAAACAUGUCUGGGAGAAACUACCUUAAAUAUGAUGGAAAGUAUAUUGAACAAACUGGAGUCAAGUCUGCCAGAGAUUCACUUAACAAGGGAGAUUUUCAUUUCACAUUCCCAAGGGAAAUAUGGUUGCAAACAACCAGACGUUUGUUUCUAUGUUGUGAAAUUCUUUGAAAUUACAUGUAAGUAUCCUUGUGAGCAAGGAUGAAAAACUCACUUGACGGACUCCACAAUUCCAAAAAAUAAGAAUUGGCGCUUGCAGAAUGAGCUAAAUUCCAUCCAGAAAUUGUGUAGAUAUUUCUCCCAUUCAUCAACUCCCCAAAAGAAAAAACCUUAGCGGCAAAUUAAACAUGGGACAAAUAGAAAGUGGGUGUGAGCCCCUCGAUCAAUUGGAGUGAAUGGCCUGGGAGAUUGGGUACCAAUCUGCCUCUCAGUAUCCUAAACAGAAACUGUGACAUCAGACACGGGGAGCCAGUCCUGUCAACAACUUCCAUGGUAAGUUUAAUUGAAGUUUGUAGAAUGAAUUCAUGCACUGGUACAUCCUCAUGUGUUGCUUGUUAAACCCAAAUGUGUAUCUCAUGGCUUAGGAGUAUGGUGUAGUCUGCAUUAAACCAGGCAGUAAUGUACAGAUGGUCUUCAGUCUAUGGCAAUACACAGUGGUGUAGCUAAUGGCCACGGGGAAGGGAGGGACCAGACUAUCAGUAAUUGGUUGAUGUGCUAGUUGAUCAACCACAAUAGGAGACAGGCAGUCAGUGGUCCACUAAAUCCACACGUCAGUCAACCAAUCCUGCCAAAGCUACAUGAGCAUGUGGAAAUAUCAAACAUAACAGUUGUUUACACAGCUUCCAUAUGCUGAAAGCAUUAAGAAGAAAAGUCACUUGAGUUUGCUAUACUUUGCGGGAAAAAACAAUCGCUUGAUCUGCAUGUAUUACUUGACUAAAAAACACUUGUCAAAGAGUCGUUUUGAAAAACAGCAAAUUCUGCAUGUUAAUAUGAGGCACAGAAAUUUUGAGAUUUCUUGAACAUUUUGGAAAGUUUUAAAUUUCGAUUUGACUUUUUAAGAUAAAAGUCCAUUAUGGAUACUAAGAGUUGGUCAAAAAAUGCUUUGUGCCAAUUUCUGAAAUGAAUGCCUCUUGCAGAAGUUUCCUCAGUGGAUGUCAAUUUUUCAUCCAGUAUGCAUGUCACAAUUUAGAGGAGCUGAUUUUUUUUUUGAAAACUCGAAAACACAAAAAUCGAGUGAUCUAGUUCAGUUGACUCAUGCAUCAAAUUCAAGAGAGCUGGGGCUUGCCUUUAAUUCAGGCCAAAAUGAUGAAAUCUAACAUUGUUUUACAUGUAGUGUUAAUUAGGUCCCUCCCUCCCCCCAAAAUUUGAAGCUAUGCCACUACCAAAUAUCACCAAGGUUUUCCUGAAAUCAAACGGCAAAAAAAUCAAACAAACUUGCUAAAAGUUAAGCAGCAUUUGUUUUGACGUGAAACUUGAUCAAGGCAUUGUAAUUCUAAUGUCGGCCGCAGUCUGUGAUGAGCUCAAAUCACUAAUGUCUGCCUGAGCAGACUUCUAAAGCAAAAAUAGUAUUGAAUUUAACAUUACAAAAAUAUUGCAAUCUGGACUUUACUAAGUGCGGAUAGUGCUGAUGCAAUUUACAGCCAAACGGUCAAACAGCUACCGAUAAUAACAGAAUUGAUACGAAAUGCCUCUGCUGAAAACAACAUACACGACUCAUGUCGUAGCCUGCAUUGUAAUUGAUAUGAUCUGAGCUAAACUCGGCUCAGCAGGCACAGGUUUCAUUAGUACCCACAUGAUGUGGACGGAGAACAGACUGAGGCAAGUCUAGCACAACACAAUGCUAUGCUUUAGAAUACAUGUACAUGUACAUGUUAUGGUAGACUGUUCAUAUAUCUUAUUUUCUGUUCCAAAUGCCUGUAGAUAUAUAUCUACCCAGAGCAAAAGCUUACAGCAUUUAUGGCUGUACCAUUCAGCUACCAAUCAUCAGCACAAGAUUACAAUUGGGACCACAGUGCCAAUGCUUCCACCCAGACGUAAAAUUUGAAGAUGAGCAAUAAAAUACAAAGAAUCUGCCAAUCUUUGGUAAUAUUAAAGUUAAACUUGAAUCCAUGCAAAAAUCCUGGCAAAAAUCCUGGCAGAGGAAAUUUCCAGUUGUGAUUUAAUUGAGCUCAGUUUUUUCUCUGAAUUUCUGUUUAAACGAACAUGAACCAGUCAAUGUCUUGAUCAAGUCACAAAACCAAAUUAUGUGAUGUAGGAAACAAAAUGUCCCAAAAGUUCUUCAUUUCUUCAUGUACAUUUUUCAUCAUGACUAGAAAAGUCAGAAGAAAAAGGAAAAGCGAGAAAAUCCUAAAGGCAUAUUUUGAAGAGUCAAUUGCACCAGCAAACCAAAUCUAUGUCAAAAAAGUUCAAUUCAAAUUUGCAACAAAAUUCUCAGCAAUAACUCCAAAAUUUAUUUCUGCUGGAUAUGUAUGUUUUAAACAUCAUAAGCAAAUUGUAAGCACGUUGCUGCCUGCUAACGAUCCUUGCAUUCAUGUAAGCAUCAUCAACCAAAUUCCAGUGCUUAUAGUGUUCUAGCGUGAGAAGAAAUGGAGAACUUUUGGGACAUAUUGUUGAUAUUGCCAUAGACUGAAGACUAUCAUAGCUCCAUUUCACAUGUUUUUCCAUGUCGAAACUGUCCUUAUGACAUUGUAGGACCUUGUUGAAAAGAAUUUAAAUUUCACGAAGACAAAGGACUCAACGACGGCAUGUACGGAAAAUGCACAUCUGUGUAAAUGCAAUCCAUGUAAACGAAAAUGUGAUAUUUUCCAAACUGUACUUUUGAAAAUGUUUAUCCUAUCUUCCGACCUGAAAUUGACGGGUAGUUGAUUGGAGAUACCAUCUCGUAACUAUGUCUAGUUUAAGUAAUGUGCAAAUAAGAUGCUUAUCGGAAAGGAUUUAUUUAUGUUCCAAAUUGAAAGAUUUUUCAUUUGAUAGUUUCUACACUGAAAGUAUUUCAGGAGUAUUACAUAAAGUACAUGUACAUUUGUACAUGUACCUAAAAAUAAGUAGGUGUCAUAACCGUUUUGCUUAGUUAUGUCAUGUUAUUCCCUAAAAUUGAACCGUGUAGGGAAAAAAAAUCUAACAUGAGAUCAUAUAGGUAAAGAUGUGGGGAGUUUGCAUAGGUUUCAUGACGAUGUGAUGCUGUUCUUGACUAAGGUGACAAGGAACAAGUCUUACUUACAGCAACUCUUCCAUUUAGAACUUUAUUGGGAAACAUCAUUUGCGAAUAAAGUGUAUUUCCAACAAGAGUUUUAUCUCACAAAGUUUGAACUUAAGGAGAUCAUGUUUUUCCAAUGAGUCAUCAGCCAAGAUGUCGAUAGAACUUGUAAGAUGUUCAACAAAUGACAGUUGAUUAAAUUACU